UUUAUUUUAGAUUUUUAGCUAAUUUACCAAUGUGUUCUGAUUGCAACUUAACUUACUAGUUAGUAUUUUAAUGUAAUUUUAAAAUUUCAUUAAUCAAUAAAAUUUCUCAGCCUUAAGGCACAAAAGAUCGAGUGUUCGUUUUUGCAUUACUAGCAGAAUUCAAAUCUCUGAUUCUUCUCUUACCUGUAUAAACGUUGAUAGGUGCUGCCAUCAGCAAUAUGCACUCCAAGGAUCAGCUUUUCAACUUAUAAUGUUUUUUCAAUUUUAGUUUUUUUUCUAACUAGGUGCACAGGCGCUUGAAGCUCACACUAGACUUAAUCAAGAAAGAAAUUGAGAUCAAUAAAAUACAGGAAUCAAUUGCUAAAGCUAUUGAGGAAAAAAUAUCUGGUGAGCAGAGACGCUAUCAUCUGAAUGAGCAACUAAAAGCAAUUAAGAAGGGAAAAGAGCCAAAAGAGGUUUUGGCUUAUCAAUGGGAUGCUGGGGAAACAACUUGUUUUAAACUUGUCUUGUUGAUGUAAU